rnacentral:rRNA from 1 species
AUGGGCAAGAGAUGGGUUAUGGAGAUGAGCCCCCAUGAAGCACGUAGAUUCAAGCUCCGACGCCACAACAGCAGGCCGAAGACGCGUCUGGACAAUCUCCCCGAGGAUGUGAUACAAAAGAUACUAUCGCGCUUGCCUCUAAAGGAGGUGGUGCAGAUAAGCACACUGUCGAGUGGGUGGAGACAUGUCUGGAGAUACCACCCAGAUCUAAUCUUCAGUGUUGAAAAAUUGUUUGAUGGCAAGGACAAGGGGGACCAAGAAUUUGUUACUAGUGUCAAUGAUAUCCUGAAGGAUCAUUACUGUACUGUUGUGAACAAGUUUAAGGUGAAUUAUGGACUAUCUGAAGAACACGGUGAUGAUCUUGAUGAAUGGCUCCGUUUUUCUGUUCUAUCAAAGGCAAAGAACGUUGUUCUUGAUCUACGCCCUCCACCCAAAUGCCCGGAUAAUGUCUACAACUUCCCUCUGCAUCUUUUUGAUGAUCGAAACAGCUCAUGUGUGCUGUCUCUCCGACUUGUCUUAGUGUGCCUAAGGCCAGCUCCGAAUUUCUGUGGCUUUGCAAACCUUCGAUCACUCAAAUUGCAUAGGGUUUAUGUAUCGAAGGACCUCCAUUGCAUGCUCCCACACUGUGUUGUCCUUGAGUGGUUAAGCCUAACAGACUGUUUCAUGCCUUCCUUCACCAUGUCUGAGCCACUAGACCACCUGCAGUAUGCUUGUAUUCAGAAUUGCAGCCUACAAAGCAUGGAACUGCAUGCACCAAAUCUCACAGUAUUUGAGUAUUCAGAGCAGGAUGUGCCGAUUGUGCUUGGCAAAUUUCACAAGCUGACAAAGGCAAAAAUUGAAGUAUUAUCAGAUUCUGACAAUCUAGACUACACUUUUAGUCAUCUUGUUAGGGCUAUGCCUAAUGCGGAGGAAAUCUCUCUUAGAAUUCAUAUCCAAAAUGAGGCACGACAGUUCAUGACAGACAGCCGAUGUGAUUUUAUUAAUCUGAGGUAUCUCAAUAUAGAGGUUUUGGUGGACGGAGAUCCAGGUUGUUCAAGUGGGAUUCUUCGUUUGGCUUCUCUAUUGGAACUAACUCCUCUCUUGAUGUUCAAUCUGCAUGUGUUGUUUAAUUCUAGCCUGCGAUACAAUGGUGGUGGUGAUGCCACGAAGACUUCAGGCCACAAACUUAGACAUCUCAAGAGGGUAUACAUGUCAGGAUUUGCUGAUCUCCGGGGCCAGUUGGAGCUUGCGUGGUAUAUCCUCCAGCAUGCCACCGUCCUCGAGCGCAUGGUCAUUGAUCCUAGUGUGAAGACUCGCUUCGGCUCGCACCGUGCAGUUGAGGGUGGGCUGUUCCAGGAUCUCCUGGCAAUAUACUUGCUUCUACCCAAAUUUCCAGAGGUCCUGACUGUUUUGAGGGCACCACCGCCAGGGUAUCGGUGA